UACGUAGGGGGCAAGCGUUGUCCGGAAUCAUUGGGCGUAAAGCGCGUGUAGGCGGCUCGAUAAGUCCGCUCUGAAAGCCCGGGGCUCAACCCCGGGAGGCGGGCGGAAACUGUCGGGCUAGAGUCCGGAAGAGGCGAGUGGAAUUCCCGGUGUAGCGGUGAAAUGCGCAGAUAUCGGGAGGAACACCAAUGGCGAAGGCAGCUCGCUGGGACGUGACUGACGCUGAGACGCGAAAGCGUGGGGAGCAAACAGGG
rnacentral:rRNA from 1 species